CAAUGGCAGGUACAGAGGGAGUGCUACCGGGCGACCGGGUGCGGAUCUCGAAAGCCUGUCCCAGUUCGGACUGGAGUCUGCAACCCGACUCCACGAAGUUGGAUUCGCUAGUAAUCGCGCAUCAGCCAUGGCGCGGUGAAUACGUUCCCGGGCCUUGUACACACCGCCCGUCAAGCCAUGGGAGCCGGGGGCGCCUGAAGUCCGGGACCGCGAGGACCGGCCUAGGGCGAAACUGGUAACUGGGGCUAAGUCGUAACAAGGUAGC
rnacentral:rRNA from 1 species